GCCCUCGUGGCGCAGUUGGAUAACGCGUAAGACUUCUAUAUUAUAGAAUCUAUCUUAAGAUCGCGGGUUCGAGUCCCGUCGAGGGUA
rnacentral:tRNA from 1 species